rnacentral:rRNA from 1 species
CCUACGGGGGGCUGCAGUGAGGAAUAUUGGUCAAUGGGCGCUAGCCUGAACCAGCCAAGUAGCGUGAAGGAUGACUGCCCUAUGGGUUGUAAACUUCUUUUAUAUGGGAAUAAAGUGCAGUAUGUAUACUGCUUUGCAUGUACCUUAUGAAUAAGGAUCGGCUAACUCCGUGCCAGCAGCCGCGGUAAUACGGAGGAUCCGAGCGUUAUCCGGAUUUAUUGGGUUUAAAGGGAGCGUAGGCGGGUUGUUAAGUCAGUUGUGAAAGUUUGCGGCUCAACCGUAAAAUUACAGUUGAUACUGGCAGCCUUGAGUACAGUAGAGGUAGGCGGAAUUCGUGGUGUAGCGGUGAAAUGCUUAGAUAUCACGAAGAACUCCGAUUGCGAAGGCAGCCUGCUGGACUGUAACUGACGCUGAUGCUCGAAAGUGUGGGUAUCAAACAGGAUGAGAUACCCUGGUAGUC